UACGAACUGUGCGAACGUUAUUCGGAAUCACUGGGCUUACAGGGUGCGUAGGUGGUGAGGUAAGUCGGAUGUGAAAGCUCGGAGCUCAACUCCGAAAUGGCAUUGGAAACUACCUUGCUCGAGGGUUGGAGGGGGGACUGGAAUUCCUGGUGUAGCAGUGAAAUGCGUAGAUAUCAGGAGGAACACCGAUGGCGAAGGCAGGUCUCUGGGCUGACACUGACGCUCAUGCACGAAAGCGUGGGGAGCAAACAGG
rnacentral:rRNA from 1 species